rnacentral:rRNA from 1 species
UGCAAGUCUACGAGAACGAGGUAGCAAUAUCUUUAGUAAAGUGGCGUACGGGUGCGUAACACGUAAGUAAUCUACCUUUGGGUUCGGAAUAACUUCGGGAAAUCGGAGCUAAUACCGGAUAAUGCAGCGGCACCGCAUGGUGAUGUUGUUAAAGUUUGUGUAAUGCCUAAAGAUGAACUUGCGUCUGAUUAGCUAGUUGGUGAGGUAAUGGCUCACCAAGGCUGCGAUCAGUAGCUGGUCUGAGAGGAUGAUCAGCCACACUGGAACUGAGACACGGUCCAGACUCCUACGGGAGGCAGCAGUGGGGAAUCUUGCGCAAUGGGCGAAAGCCUGACGCAGCGACGCCGCGUGAGUGAUGAAGGCCUUCGGGUUGUAAAGCUCUGUGGGGAGAGACGAAUAACGCAGCGCGAAUAGUUCUGCAGAUGACGGUAUCUCCUUAGCAAGCACCGGCUAACUCUGUGCCAGCAGCCGCGGUAAGACAGAGGGUGCAAACGUUGUUCGGAAUUACUGGGCGUAAAGCGCAUGUAGGCGGCCAAGCAGGUCGGAUGUGAAAUCCCUCGGCUCAACCAAGGAAGUGCAUUCGAAACCGCAUGGCUGGAGUCCCGGAGAGGGUGGUGGAAUUCUUGGUGUAGAGGUGAAAUUCGUAGAUAUCAAGAGGAACACCGGCGGCGAAGGCGGCCACCCUGGACGAGGACU